AAGUCGUAACAAGGUUUCCGUAGGUAAACCUGUAGAAGGAUUAUUAUUAUUAGGCUUUAGCCCCCUAAAGAUAGCACCCUUUGUUUAUAAGUACCUAUUGUUUCCUUAGCGGGCCUGCCUGCUAGUAGACACCUAAAAACCUUUGCAGUAGUAGUAUCUUUAGUAAUAAACAAAUAUUAAAA
rnacentral:misc_RNA from 1 species